GGGGAUGUGGCUCAAGUGGUAGUGCUCUCGCCUAGCAUGUGUGAGGCACUGGGUUUGAUUCUCAGCACCUCA
rnacentral:tRNA from 1 species